rnacentral:rRNA from 1 species
UCGUGGGGCAGCAUGAACUAGCAAUAGUUUGAUGGCGACCGGCAAACGGGUGCGGAACACGUACACAACCUCCCGAUAAGUGGGGAAUAGCCCAGAGAAAUUUGGAUUAAUACCCCGUAACAUUGCGAUGUGGCAUCACAUUGCAAUUAUAGCUUCGGCGCUUAUUGAUGGGUGUGCGUAUGAUUAGAUAGUUGGCGAGGUAACGGCUCACCAAGUCCACGAUCAUUAGCUGAUGUGAGAGCAUGAUCAGCCACACGGGCACUGAGACACGGGCCCGACUCCUACGGGAGGCAGCAGUAAGGAAUAUUGGUCAAUGGACGAAAGUCUGAACCAGCUAUGCCGCGUGAAGGAUUAAGGUCCUCUGGAUUGUAAACUUCUUUUAUAUGGGACGAAAAAAGGUCUUUCUAGAUCACUUGACGGUACCAUAUGAAUAAGCACCGGCUAACUCCGUGCCAGCAGCCGCGGUAAUACGGAGGGUGCAAGCGUUAUCCGGAUUCAUUGGGUUUAAAGGGUGCGUAGGCGGGCAGGUAAGUCAGUGGUGAAAUCCUGGAGCUCAACUCCAGAACUGCCAUUGAUACUAUCUGUCUUGAAUAUUGUGGAGGUAAGCGGAAUAUGUCAUGUAGCGGUGAAAUGCUUAGAUAUGACAUAGAACACCUAUUGCGAAGGCAGCUUACUACGCAUAUAUUGACGCUGAGGCACGAAAGCGUGGGGAUCAAACAGGAUUAGAUACCCUGGUAGUCCACGCCCUAAACGAUGGAUACUCGACAUAUGCGAUACACUGUAUGUGUCUGA